ensembl:lncRNA
UUAACCACUAUUAUCAUCUCCUCCCCAGCUCGCGAUGUAAAUGUCAGCUUCCUGCAGCAGCGAGAGGACCACUAAUGGCUGCGGCACAGGAAGGAGGGGCAAGGAACUUCCAAAUGAGCUUGACAUUUUCUUAACCUGAAACAAACGGAGGCUGUGAAAGGCCAGGGAAGGAACCCAUCGGAGUGACUGAGAGGGCUGUAAAUGAAGAGCAAGACCUUCCUUAAACACGGCCAUUUGUAAUGGGCUGCCGAGCUGUGACAGAGGGUGCCCUGACAUCGAUUUUAGGGGAGACAGGAUGACUGUGACUGAAGGAAAAAACAUGGUCCAUGAAGUUGCUGGUGAAUCGUGCUCUCCAGGCCAGAGACCACCAGAAGGACUCAGCUUCAGGGAGCAAAAAUACCAAAGGAGAGCAAGGAACAAUCCACAUCCUCCAUCUAUGGUGCAGGCUGGACCUCGGUGCUCCCACAGCGAC